rnacentral:tRNA from 1 species
GUGAGUGUGUUGGAAUUGGUAGACAAGCCAGACUUAGGAUCUGGUGCUUAGGCGUAUGGGUUCGAGUCCCUUCACUCGCA